GUUUGGAAUUCAGGAAAAUAUAGGCUUACCUAGAGGAGGACGACUAUGAAAGAGGAACCGCUGGGCAGCGGGAUGAACUCGGCUCGCUCGUGGAUGCACACAUCUGGGGUAGUGGAUGCGAACACAGCCGCCCAAAGCGGUGUGGGUUUGGCUCGGGCACACUACGAGAAGCAACCGCCGUCCAACCUCAGAAAAUCAACUUUUUCCCACUUCGUUCUUUUGCGCUGUAUGACAGGCAAGGGCAGCCCGUGAGAUCGAACGGACAGCUUAUGUGGACUUUGUGGAGAAGGACAAAGAACCAAACAAUGAAAAAACUAACAAUGGAUAGCACUACAA